UGUACCACCUUGUCGGGUAGCUUAUCAGACUGAUGUUGACUGUUGAAUGUCAUGGCAACAGCAGUCGAUGGGCUGUCUGACAUUUUGGUAUC
rnacentral:miRNA from 1 species